rnacentral:rRNA from 1 species
UACGUAGGGUCCGAGCGUUGUCCGGAAUUAUUGGGCGUAAAGGGCUCGUAGGCGGUCUGUUGCGUCGGGAGUGAAAACUUACAGCUUAACUGUGAGCGUGCUUCCGAUACGGGCAGACUUGAGGUAUUCAGGGGAGAACGGAAUUCCUGGUGUAGCGGUGAAAUGCGCAGAUAUCAGGAGGAACACCGGUGGCGAAGGCGGUUCUCUGGGCAUGAUCUGACGCUGAGGAGCGAAAGUGUGGGGAGCGAACAGG